rfam:Triticum aestivum genome assembly, contig: Triticum_aestivum_CS42_TGACv1_scaffold_423495_5BS
CAUGUACUCCCUCCGUUCGAAAUUACUUGUCGCAAAAAUGGAUGUAUCUAGACGUCUUUUAAUUCUAGAUACAUCCAUUUUCGAGACAAGUAAUUCCGAACGGAGGGAGUACGUG